rnacentral:lncRNA from 1 species
GGUUCUUCCAAAAACUAUGAGUCACCAAGAUCAAAACUAGGACUUGCCGUAGAUGAAGUAGAGAAUUUUGGAUUCGAUGGUUCCGGUCCUUAGAAAAGAAUGCAAAUCCAUACUUAGCUUUGUUUUUUUCAUUACAAAGAAUCUCAUCAAUUUGUCAUGCUACGGAGGGAGUGAAAAUGGAGGAAAGAGGUGAGACUGAGAGAGGAGGAACGGG